rnacentral:tRNA from 1 species
GGGCGUUUGGCGCAGUGGUAGCGCGCUUCGUUCACACCGAAGAGGUCACUGGUUCGAACCCAGUAACGCCCA